CAGCCACUCCGACGUCAUCCACUUUUCUUUGAAGUUGAACCUUCAAAGGUUUGGGGGCGGGGUUUAAGCUACUCUCUGACACAGCUGCAUAUUUAAAUGGCAUAAACUAUUAAUUUAAAUGGACUACUUGCACAAUCACUUCCGCGGUCCAUGUAGUCCUGCCCCAGUGCUUCCGGUGUGGUUAAACCAUGGCGGCGUUCUACACUCGCUGUCUACAAGAGCUCCCAAAAUUGAACAUCACUGAUGUUCAUCGGAUUUGCAGAGUGACGACUACCCCCGCCAGCAAAUUAGAUAAAGGAUUUAAGUUAUAUGCUGCAUCAUAUAUACACAACUACGAAGUGUCCAAUAAAGACAGGUUGUCAGGGGAGGUCGGUGUGAGAGCCCUGUGCUACAGGUCAAUGAGGAAGAGUGAGGCACCACACAGACUAAGUAUUAAGCUUCUGGAUUCAUCGCCGGUGAUACUGACACAUAGCCAGUGCUCCUGUGUGGCAGGCGCUGUUAUGUGCAAUCACACAGUGGCACUGCUCUUCCAAACAGCACACUACUCACAACUCAGUGCCAGUUGUCCCCCCCUGUGCAUAGCUGCACGGAAUCUGAACAGCAAUGGCACAAGCCACGGACAGUGGGUGUGAAGCCAGGACCCAUCAACUCCAUGAUCUUCACUAAGCCGGUACCAAAUAGGAUGGCCCAGACUGGAGUACGGAGUGGCUUCUACAGAGGCAUGGUGGGUUCGUUACCAGAUCCCUGCUUGUUCAGAAUAACGGAGGCAUAUGCAAAAUUUAAUAUUGAGGACAGACCACUUGUGACCACAAUGAACAUGAGACCUGACAAGCCCCUUGUGGAAAGUGCUUUUGGGCUGGUGCAGGAGGGCAGUGUUCUGUCAUAUCAGCAGCCGGUUUUGACAACCCGGUACAUCACACUACACCGUGAUGCACCACCAACACCGCACUUGCCUCUGGAGGGGUAUGACAUCUUGCCAUCAGAUUGUGUGUUUGUGUGCUCAGAAGAAGAGCUUCUGCAUCUGAAAAGCUUGUCUGUAACUCUGGAAAUGGCUCACAAAAUAGAGGAAGCUACACGUGAGCAAAGCUCUUCAUCUGAGUGGCAUCAGCUCCGCAGGCCCAGAGUGACUGCCUCUAGGUUUCAGGAGGUGUCACAUCAGAGGCCAGAGCUCAGCAGAUUCACUAGCAGAGCGUAUAUUGAAGGGAACAAGGCAGACAGCAGACAUGAGGAGAGGAACUGAGAUGGAGCCUGCAAUAGCAGCAGAGUAUAGUAGGCUAAUGAAUGUUAACUACUCACCCUGUGGUCUGGUCAUUCACCCCAUUGCCCCCUGGCUUGCUGCAUCUCCUGAUGGUGUUGUUUUUGACCCCAAUGAAUACCCCCAGUUUGGCCUUGUCGAAUUCAAAUGUCCCAAUGUACAAAACUUUAUUGACUGCAAAUAUGUGCAAAUGGAAUGUGGUACCCCUAAACUAAAAAAGAGCCACGCAUAUUACUGGCAAGUGCAAGGACAACUGCUCAUCAGUGGGAUGCAGUGGUGUGACUUUGUUGUGUGGGCACAAGAGGACUACCUAGUGCAAAGAAUAUACAUGGAUACAGAUGUGCACAAUGCAAUCAGAGAAAAGGCUGACUACUUCUUUUUUUACAUAUAUAUGCCAAGAUACCUGUGUUUGGGAAAAAUAAACAGUGAAAACAUAGCAAAAAAGGAAAACAGAUCCUUCAGGCUGGCUGGAACAAAAUAACUGAUGUUUUAUUUGCAAAGUAUUUCAUGAAUUAUUUUGUUGUUACUUUUAUGUGAAAUCAAUAAACUGUUAUUUAAGCAAUGGCAUCAAUUUCAUUUUUUUAAAAACACACAUUUAAACAUUGAAUUUCUAUAGAACUUAUUUACAUGGUAAGUAUUUAACACUCCAUGCCUAGCAUACUGAUAUACAUUUAGACAAUAACACAACUGAGGGAAGAAAAUGACAAAUGGUAUUUUGGAUGUUCCAAAAGCACAAUGUCACUUAUGAUUUUAAAACGAUUUAGUGAUUUACUUUAUAAUUUUGAUAAACAAUUUUGUUGAAUCUGAAUAGUAAUAUAGUAUUAUAAUUAAACAGUAUUAUUAACAUUCAACAUUUGCAAUGAAUUAGAAUGAUCAAUAACUGGAACUCAACUAUCAGCACUCAAGUACCAGUUCUGUAAUCAAGUAUUGUCAGCUGAGAAGGAAGAAAUGCAACUGUAGUGGCCUCAGCUGCAGGUCAUUUUCCACAAGUUACUUGUACUGGCACUGUUUGGGGGGAAAAAGCCAUCUUGUCUCACUUAACCCAUUUUUUUUUAACUAAUGCUGUGUUCUGGUAAUUUGACAACAUACAUGCUGCUGCAAACAGUUGGUUGAUAUUGUAAACAUGUGACAUGGCAAUGAAUGCUAUCAAAAAGUUUGUUCUGUUUUAUCCUCCUAAUGACUCGCUCCACAUGUACCCUGAGUCUGGCUAUGGCCUGCGUCUCCUUAACCUGGUAUGCUGGCAUCUGCUUCUGCUUAGACAGAAAAGGUGGGCAGUACACUUUGCAUUUACAACAAUCGGUGAUUAGGAAGCCCUUAUCUACCAUCACUGCCAUGUCUUCAGUCAACUGCUCAGCAAUGCCUGAUUGUUUGAAUAGUUCCUUGUCACUAACCGAACCAGCAUACAGAUUAGAGAUGAAUGUCACUGGACCAUGUGGAGCAGGGGUGUCGAACUCCAGGCCUCGA